rnacentral:rRNA from 1 species
UAGCCUCAAGUGAUGAUUAUUGGAGGUAGAGCACUGUUUGGACGAGGGGCCCCUCUCGGGUUACCGAAUUCAGACAAACUCCGAAUGCCAAAUAAUUUAACUUGGGAGUCAGAAUGUGGGUGAUAAGGUCCAUAUUCGAAAGGGAAACAGCCCAGACCACCAGCUAAGGUCCCAAAAUAUAUGUUAAGUGGAAAAGGAUGUGGCGUUGCCCAGACAACUAGGAUGUUGGCUUAGAAGCAGCCAUCAUUUAAAGAGUGCGUAAUAGCUCACUAGUCGAGUGACACUGCGCCGAAAAUGUACCGGGGCUAAACAUAUUACCGAAGCUGUGGAUUGUCCUUUGGACAAUGGUAGGAGAGCGUUCUAAGGGCGUUGAAGCAUGAUCGCAAGGACAUGUGGAGCGCUUAGAAGUGAGAAUGCCGGUGUGAGUA